CACGAUACACGAUCAUCUGUCUGUGAUAUUAUGAUCUGAAGAAAAACUGGAAUUGCAGUCAGGAUGGACCAUGACUGGCAGCAGGAGAAGUGGUCACCGCAGCUGACACAAUGAGGAUGAGGAUGGUUCAGGUUUGUCUCGUUAUCGUCACUAUUUAUGUUCUGUUCUCCUUG